GUGGGGAAUAUUGGACAAUGGGCGCAAGCCUGAUCCAGCCAUGCCGCGUGAGUGAUGAAGGCCUUAGGGUUGUAAAGCUCUUUCGUCAGGGAAGAUAAUGACGGUACCUGAAGAAGAAGCCCCGGCUAACUUCGUGCCAGCAGCCGCGGUAAUACGAAGGGGGCUAGCGUUGCUCGGAAUCACUGGGCGUAAAGCGCACGUAGGCGGCUUUCUAAGUCAGGGGUGAAAUCCUGGAGCUCAACUCCAGAACUGCCUUUGAUACUGGAGAGCUUGAGUUCGGGAGAGGUGAGUGGAACUGCGGGUGUAGAGGUGAAAUUCGUAGAUAUUCGCAAGAACACCAGUGGCGAAGGCGGCUCACUGGCCCGAUACUGACGCUGAGGUGCGAAAGCGUGGGGAGCAAACAGGAUUAGAAACCCGGGUAGUCC
rnacentral:rRNA from 1 species